ensembl:lncRNA novel transcript
AAAAAUGGCUCCUCUUCCUUCCUAGAGUGUGACCAUCUCUACCUGUGCGCCCACACGGCUGGCCUGAACAUGAGGCAGUGACUCCCGGCUGGAAGGGACCCCGAGGACAGCAAAUACCGAGAGGAGGCUCACCGCAAAGAAAGGGGAAGUACAAACUGUCCAAAUGGCUAGGAGGGGAGGACGUUGGUUCUGACACAGCCUGGGACCUACUCCUGACCCAGACGUGUGGCUCGGAGGAUGGGUUUCAGGAAGCCUGGCUGAGGGUGAGCACAGGAGGGUGAGCACAGGAGGCCGAGGCAGCUGGCUUGCUUGAGCCCAGGAGUUAGAGACCAGCUUGGGGCAACGUAGCAAGACCCCGUCUCUACAAAAAAAUUCAAAAAUUAAUCAGGCAUGGUGAUGCAUCUUUGCAAUCCCAGCUACUCAGGAGACUGAGGCAGGAGGGUCACCUGAGCCCAGGGAGGCCAAGGCUGCAAUGAGUUCUGAUCAUGCCAUUGCACUCCAGCCUGGGUGAGUUAGUGAAACCCUGUCUCAAAAAACAAAAAACAAAACCAAAAAAACGCUGGAACCAGAG